GUCCUCUAAAGAGCCGUUCGAGACUAGGACGUUGAUAGGUUGGAUGUGGAAGCAUAGUGAUAUGUGAAGCUGACCAAUACUAAUUGCUCGUGAGGCUUGACUAUACAACACCCAAGCAGUUG
rnacentral:rRNA from 1 species